UUUGGGGGCAGCUAAACAUGCAGCCGAGCGGUAGAGAUUCUUCGGAAUCUUGAGAGCGGCGUACGGGUGCGGAACACGUGUGCAACCUACCUUUAUCAGGGGGAUAGCCUUUCGAAAGGAAGAUUAAUACCCCAUAAUAUAUUGAAUGGCAUCAUUUAAUAUUGAAAACUCCGGUGGAUAGAGAUGGGCACGCGCAAGAUUAGAUAGUUGGUAGGGUAACGGCCUACCAAGUCAAUGAUCUUUAGGGGGCCUGAGAGGGUGAUCCCCCACACUGGUACUGAGACACGGACCAGACUCCUACGGGAGGCAGCAGUGAGGAAUAUUGGACAAUGGGUGAGAGCCUGAUCCAGCCAUCCCGCGUGAAGGACGACGGCCCUAUGGGUUGUAAACUUCUUUUGUAUAGGGAUAAACCUACUCUCGUGAGAGUAGCUGAAGGUACUAUACGAAUAAGCACCGGCUAACUCCGUGCCAGCAGCCGCGGUAAUACGGAGGGUGCAAGCGUUAUCCGGAUUUAUUGGGUUUAAAGGGUCCGUAGGCGGAUCUGUAAGUCAGUGGUGAAAUCUCAUAGCUUAACUAUGAAACUGCCAUUGAUACUGCAGGUCUUGAGUAAAGUAGAAGUGGCUGGAAUAAGUAGUGUAGCGGUGAAAUGCAUAGAUAUUACUUAGAACACCAAUUGCGAAGGCAGGUCACUAUGUUUUAACUGACGCUGAUGGACGAAAGCGUGGGGAGCGAACAGGAUUAGAUACCCUGGUAGUCCACGCCGUAAACGAUGCUAACUCGUUUUUGGGUUUUCGGAUUCAGAGACUAAGCGAAAGUGAUAAGUUAGCCACCUGGGGAGUACGUUCGCAAGAAUGAAACUCAAAGGAAUUGACGGGGGCCCGCACAAGCGGUGGAUUAUGUGGUUUAAUUCGAUGAUACGCGAGGAACCUUACCAAGGCUUAAAUGGGAAUUGACAGGUUUAGAAAUAGACUUUUCUUCGGACAAUUUUCAAGGUGCUGCAUGGUUGUCGUCAGCUCGUGCCGUGAGGUGUUAGGUUAAGUCCUGCAACGAGCGCAACCCCUGUCACUAGUUGCCAUCAUUCAGUUGGGGACUCUAGUGAGACUGCCUACGCAAGUAGAGAGGAAGGUGGGGAUGACGUCAAAUCAUCACGGCCCUUACGCCUUGGGCCACACACGUAAUACAAUGGCCAGUACAGAGGGCAGCUACCAGGCGACUGGAUGCGAAUCUCGAAAGCUGGUCUCAGUUCGGAUUGGAGUCUGCAACUCGACUCUAUGAAGCUGGAAUCGCUAGUAAUCGCAUAUCAGCCAUGAUGCGGUGAAUACGUUCCCGGGCCUUGUACACACCGCCCGUCAAGCCAUGGAAGUUUGGGGUACCUGAAGUCGGUGACCGUAACAGGAGCUGCUAGGUAAAAUCAAG
rnacentral:rRNA from 1 species